AAUAACUGAUUAAUUCUAGAUAUUCAACCAUCUGGUUGGUAAUGACACCCUUGAUUAAACAGAGAGAUUGUUUUUCCCCACGAGCCAUUAGAGGAACACACCUGACCAUCCUUGAGUAAAACAAUACCCAAUGGCAUGUGUUGUGCUUGAAGGUAAGAUGCCAUGGAGGACCACAAAGAUAGAGUACAUUAACCGGCAGAAGGUGAGUCCCAUGAAACCCUAUGUAAGAGAAGGGCAAAGAUGAUAUAGGGUGGGGUGAAGGAAAUUCACACUUGUUGAGUGUCAGCCAGUGAGCUAGAGAUUUUAAAUGUUUUAUUUCUCAUUUAAUUAUCUCAAUAGCAUCCUAAGAUAGACAAUACUAUAUCCAUUCACAGAUAAGGAACUGAGCCUUAUGUAAAACACAGAACCCAAGUAACAUUUAUGUAAUUGAAAUUUAAUUUCUGCCGGACUCUAAAACUUGUGCUUUCUCUACUGUACCACAAGGUCCCCUGGGAAGAUUGUUAUGAAAUUCAGUCUUCAGGAAAGACAGAAGAUCCCUCUGCACCCUGGCUGUGAAGGAAGUGGUAACAAGGUAAUAUACAGGUGACUGGAAGAAGUAAUUGCAUGACACAUGGGACUGUCUAGUUUAGCAGACAAGAAGUCCCAUCAGCAGAAAGAAGCAGAGGCAAUGACCUAUAUCAAAUGUGGUAGUGUGUUCUGUCAACUACCGCCUUUCCCAUCCUGCUAGUUUUACCCAUGGAUGCUUUUUCCAUCUCAACUAGAUGGGAAAUGGGCAAAAAGAUAUCAACAGGCUCAGUUCUCUAGACAGUGAACCUAUCACCAUUCCAUUGUGCUAGAGGGUAAAACCUUAGCAUCUGUGAGUACGUAAGGUCACAAACUUUAUAUACUCCUCUGUCAUGUGGCCCAGUUAUUUUGAUUCAGCUAUCAUCCUCAUUUAUUGCUCUAUUCAAAGGGUAGAGUUUUGACAUUGUACUCAUUUUUUAUCCUCUAGUUGUAUUUUAUCAUCCCCUGCUCUCUAACCUAAGCCAUUGUUUCCACUCAUAAUAAAACGUGUAGCAUCCCACUGAUUUGAGUUUGAGCAUAAUUUACUGGUUGGACCUCACUCUGCAUUGGACAUUCUCAGACAUUAAUUCUUAAUCUAAUCAAGCAGAAUUUACAAAGUUUGCACAGUAGUUGACUACUUUAAAGAUGCUGCUUUACAGUUAGUCUAAUUUUUCUAUCCAUCCUCCUGCCUGAUUAAACCUCUAUCUUUUCCCUUCCCUGUUCAUGUGGCUGAGGUCUUAAUGCUCUAUGUAGUCAAGCCUGAACAGAUAAAGCAAUGUCAAAAUGGUUUGGCUUGAAGUAUUGUGUUCAAGGGAGACAUGAAAGAAGACUGCCAGCAGUUAGCUAUAACCUCCCUUCAGUGUGCCCUGACAAGACACAGAAAAUAGAUUGCCAUUGGCAAAGCCACAGGCAGUGUUGUUAAAUUUUUGCCCUUAAGGUUUUAGGUGAAUUGAUCUUAAACACUUUCAAGUGGGAGCUCCUCAGUAGUCUAAUAGUUUAUUUUUUUUCUUCAAAUAUUUAGGUGAAGACCUCAGCCAAAAGACAUUCCAUCAUCUUUCUCAAUGUAACGAGUCCUUAUAGUACAGGUCUCAAUGACAGCAUUUUGGGGGCAAACACUGUCUCUUGGUGGCAUGUAGCAUUCCUUAUGAGUCUCAUGGAUGCUCCCUGAUUUAAUUUUUAUCCGUUCCGUUUCCACUUCCUUCUCCUAUUUUGUUUCUCAUGCUAUUCUCUUCCAGUUACUCACCACUGCUUCUCCUGAUUUCCUGUCUGUAAUCUGUCUUCUUUACACUCCUUGGCAAUUUUGUCUUAAUCCUCUUGCUUAAUCCAAGUAAAAGUGAUGAGGUUGUAAUUAUCCCAGUUUAUCCACCCUAUCACAUCAUCACACAGUUCCUCCUUUUGGGGUGGAUGGGCUGAGGCAAAGUAUGGCAAAGAAUGACUGGAAGCAAAAGCUCCUCCAUGACCUACAUUCUUUCCACCCCAGUCUGUGCUUUUCACUGUUGUCUUUGACUAUGCUUUUCCCCACUUUGAAAUAAAGAUAGUUAUAUACACUUCUCAGUGCUGAAUUUCUUUUUUUUUUUUUUUUUUUUUUUUGCUUACAUUCAAGAUAGUCUUUCUAUCCUGAGCAAACAGAUAGUCUUUUUUCCUUGGCUCUGUAAAAUGAAUUAUUUGAUCUGAGAGUCCAUAAUGAAUUUUUCUUGGUCUUAAUAAGAUCAUUAAACCAGGGGUUGAGAUCAUAACAUACCAUCCUAAUGAUAUCCAUUUAAUCAAAACGUCCAUUUGUUUUCACUAUGGCAAGUUUAGAAAGCAAUUCCAAAGUGCUUUCCAUGGUAUUAAUUAGUCUUUCAGGUUUCUCCUCCUCCUCUUCCUUCUCUUCCUUCUCCUCUUCCUCUUCCACUUCUCCUUCUCCUCCUCUUCCUCCUCUUCCUCCUCCUCCUCCUCCUCCUCCUGCUCCUCCUUCUCCUUCUCCUUCUCUUUCUCCUUCUUUUUAAUCUGGAGGUCAAGAAUGUCCCCCGCCCUCUGAGUAUUCUCCCUGGAUGCUGGAUGACUCCUAGAUUUCCUCCAGUGAAAAAGCAUGAAAAGUAGAAGAAGUAGACAGGUGGGUCUGAGCUUCAAAGGCAGUUCAAGUUGUAAUGAUUUAUUUUCAUGUCCUAUUGGGUUGUCUUGCAUAUUUCCUGGAAUAGGGAUUUCCACUUUGAAGACCCCUAGCCUGGCAUAAGAAGCAGUAGCCUAGAAUUGAGGCAGCCAAAUGUCUAGGCAGAUAAAAAGGGGUCCCCAGAGAAUCUCCAACCCACCCCACAGGUGUUUAUAUCAGAUGCUUUUGUGCAGAUGAGGGAGCCUGUCCAGGGCUUGUCUGGGCACGCCUACAGUA
rnacentral:lncRNA from 10 species